rnacentral:rRNA from 1 species
GACGAACGCUGGCGGCGUGCCUAAUACAUGCAAGUAGAACGCUGAAGGAGGAGCUUGCUUCUCUGGAUGAGUUGCGAACGGGUGAGUAACGCGUAGGUAACCUGCCUGGUAGCGGGGGAUAACUAUUGGAAACGAUAGCUAAUACCGCAUAAUAUUGACUAUUGCAUGAUAGUCAGUUGAAAGGUGCAACUGCACCACUACCAGAUGGACCUGCGUUGUAUUAGCUAGUUGGUGGGGUAACGGCUCACCAAGGCGACGAUACAUAGCCGACCUGAGAGGGCGAUCGGCCACACUGGGACUGAGACACGGCCCAGACUCCUACGGGAGGCAGCAGUAGGGAAUCUUCGGCAAUGGACGGAAGUCUGACCGAGCAACGCCGCGUGAGUGAAGAAGGUUUUCGGAUCGUAAAGCUCUGUUGUAAGAGAAGAACGAGUGUGAGAGUGGAAAGCUCACACUGUGACGGUAUCUUACCAGAAAGGGACGGCUAACUACGUG